rnacentral:rRNA from 1 species
CUGUGAAAACUGGAGGCUCAACCUCCAGCCUGCAGUGGGUACGGGCAGACUAGAGUGCGGUAGGGGAGAUUGGAAUUCCUGGUGUAGCGGUGGAAUGCGCAGAUAUCAUGAGGAACACCGAUGGCGAAGGCAGAUCUCUGGGCCGUAACUGACGCUGAGGAGCGAAAGCAUGGGGAGCGAACAGGAUUAGAUACCCUGGUAGUCCAUGCCGUAAACGUUGGGAACUAGAUGUAGGGGCCAUUCCACGGCUUCUGUGUCGCAGCUAACGCAUUAAGUUCCCCGCCUGGGGAGUACGGCCGCAAGGCUAAAACUCAAAGGAAUUGACGGGGGCCCGCACAAGCGGCGGAGCAUGCGGAUUAAUUCGAUGCAACGCGAAGAACCUUACCAAGGCUUGACAUAUACGAGAACGGGCUAGAAAUAGUCAACUCUUUGGACACUCGUAAACAGGUGGUGCAUGGUUGUCGUCAGCUCGUGUCGUGAGAUGUUGGGUUAAGUCCCGCAACGAGCGCAACCCUCGUUCUUUGUUGCCAGCACGUAAUGGUGGGAACUCAAAGGAGACUGCCGGGGUCAAUUCGGAGGAAGGUGGGGAUGACGUCAAAUCAUCAUGCCCCUUAUGUCUUGGGCUUCACGCAUGCUACAAUGGCCGGUACAAAGGGCUGCAAUACCGUAAGGUGGAGCGAAUCCCAAAAAGCCGGUCUCAGUUCGGAUUGAGGUCUGCAACUCGACCUCAUGAAGUCGGAGUC